UCGAGGGGCAGCGGGGAGCAAGCUUGCUUGCUCUGCCGGCGACCGGCGCACGGGUGAGUAACACGUAUGCAACCUGCCCUCCGCAGGGGGAUAACCCGGAGAAAUCCGGACUAAUACCGCGUGGUACACCUGUGGGGCAUCCCACGGGUGUUAAAAGGAAGUGAUUCCGGCGGAGGAUGGGCAUGCGGCGCAUUAGCUUGUUGGCGGGGUAACGGCCCACCAAGGCUACGAUGCGUAGGGGUUCUGAGAGGAAGGUCCCCCACACUGGUACUGAGACACGGACCAGACUCCUACGGGAGGCAGCAGUGAGGAAUAUUGGUCAAUGGGCGGGAGCCUGAACCAGCCAAGUCGCGUGAGGGAAGACGGUCCUAUGGAUUGUAAACCUCUUUAGGCGGGGAGCAAUGCCGGGCACGCGUGCCCGGAGGGAGAGUACCCGCAGAAUAAGCAUCGGCUAACUCCGUGCCAGCAGCCGCGGUAAUACGGAGGAUGCGAGCGUUAUCCGGAUUUAUUGGGUUUAAAGGGUGCGUAGGCGGAUUUUUAAGUCAGCGGUAAAAUGUCCGGGCUCAACCCGGGCCGGCCGUUGAAACUGGGGAUCUUGAGUGGGCGAGAAGUAUGCGGAAUGCGUGGUGUAGCGGUGAAAUGCAUAGAUAUCACGCAGAACUCCGAUUGCGAAGGCAGCAUACCGGCGCCCGACUGACGCUGAGGCACGAAAGCGUGGGGAUCGAACAGGAUUAGAUACCCUGGUAGUCCACGCAGUAAACGAUGAAUGCUAGUUGUCCGGUUCUUUGGGACUGGGUGACACAGCGAAAGCGUUAAGCAUUCCACCUGGGGAGUACGCCGGCAACGGUGAAACUCA
rnacentral:rRNA from 1 species